UCCUAUUUUAAUGGAGGCUACCGUAAC
rnacentral:piRNA from 1 species